rnacentral:siRNA from 1 species
UAUCAUAUUAGAUUGUGGGCUUCC